rnacentral:lncRNA from 1 species
AUGUCUCUGCAUGGAGGUUUUUGCGUUACUUACCCCUACAGUAGGAAUAGGUGUCAGUCUGCCUUCUGGGACCCCAGGUGCUGUGGCCCUCCUACCUCUCUGGGUUUUUUUUUUUUUUUUUUUUCAAGAUGUAGAUUAGAACAUGUCCAAUUGUUCUUGGAAGAGAGUCAGAGGCAGAGUGCAAGCUGUAGGGAGCAGUGUGAGGGGAGUGCCAGGGCCUUACCCUGCCUGGAAUCAUGGGCUUGGCGGGGUGGCUGGGCAAAGCAGGGGUGGGAGAGCACUCCAGCUCUGUCUGGUUCACCCCACCUUGCUCCUGGCUGCUCUGCCUCACCCUGGGCCCAGCGAGAGAAAGGUCAGGUGUGUUUGCCUGAGCCAGGGGAGGAGUUUUGGGAAAACCUGUCUCCAGGCCACAGAGAAGGAAUGGCCACCUCUCUCCAUUAGUAUGAUUCAUUGCUGUCACAGCUGAGCUCCAGGGGGGCAGACUCAGCCGGCCCAAGCCAACCAGCUGUUGAUUUGAUGGGGCCAGCCCAGCCCCGGGCCUGGUUGCACAACAGUGGAGCACCUGCCAAGGCAAUGAUGGCAGAGCAGGUGAUGCUGUGAUCACAUGUCCUGAAGGACCUGGGUGGCGGGGACUGGUGGGGAGGGGCCCCCCUGCACUGUCCAGAAGAACAGAUUCCUACCUCUGAGCCAGGCUUGGAGGAAGUCUGGUGGAGCCUGAGGCUCAGAACAUCCCCGAGGUCCCCUCUGCUCUAACUGUGUGAGCUUGGAAAGACCCCAGCCUCUCUGUCAGUUUCCUUUUCUGAAUAAUCAAGUCCUUCCUAGCUUUGGGGUAAGCUGGGCCUCCUGCUAGCUGUGUAACCCUGGAAAAGCCACUUAAGCUUCAGUUUCAUCACCUAUAAAAUAAAUGCAUCAAAAUCUUUUCUGUUAUCUCACAGGGUCAAAGUGAUACAAUGGACAUCGAAGCUCCGUGACAAUUCUCCGUGUAGCUAUUAUGCUAUUAAUGUUGACAUUACUAUCCGUUUCCUUGUCUCCUCAUUCUCUGAUGGCCGGGUUCCUCUUGUCUCUGUUAGACUUGGGUUCACUUUCUGACCUGUUUGCAGACCACCUGCGGUGUCCUCUGUAAGAUGGGCAUCGCACAGCCUGCCUGGCUGAAUUGUUGGGAGGCUCUAAGCAGCAAUUUGGAACCAUCGAGACCCUGGAAUAGGUGGAAUUGCUGCCAAGUGUGGAGAGUGAGCACGAGGCUCAGUGCAGAUACAAACAUUUAACAGCUUACCCGACCUGAGGCCUCAAGGAGGCCAGGGACUUGGCAAUCUGUGCUAUAAAUGAAGAGAAUGGUGACACAGCCACAUGCCAGCCAUUCAAGCCAUGUCAGUGGCAUCCGGAAGGUCGUGGAGGGAAGGAAAGAGUAGCCAGGGGUGGGCUUGCUCCGCGAGGUCUUCCCGGAGGCGGCGAGCCUCAAGCUGCUUUUCAGAGGUGAGGGGGAGUUUGGUUACCAGAAGGAGAAAACUAAGAAAAGCUGGAAAGAAAUGGGCUCUGUGGUAGUUCAAGCCUGGACAUGAGUUCUGAGAACAGUCAAGAAUGCAUUUCUCUCCAGGGUAUUCACUGUGGGAGAGGUGGGUCAAAUGGGUUUGCCCUUGUCACCAGCUGGUGACCUUGACUCUUAGAGUACAUUGCCCUUUGGCAGUUCUCAGAACCUCUGUGCACCAUGGCUCAGGCCAUCUUGAAGCCAACACUUAAGGAAUGGACCCUCUGGGGCCCACCUCCUUCCAGCCCUGCCUUAUAAGACCCCUGUGACCUGGCACCUGCAACCACAGCAGGAGACAGGAGCCAGCGUUCCUCAGGAUUCAGGACUUCUGAGUUGCACGAAUGGGGCCUGGGAACCGCCGCUUUCCCUGCCCAGUGACCACAUGGGUUAUGCAGCUGAGGACUGACUUGGGCCGGGGGUCAUGGCUUCCUAGGCCUUCUGGCUUCUGCUUCAUUGCAGCCCUUUCCAGCUGCAAGUCAACACCAGGAGGAACUGAUUUGGGGACCUGGAGUUCAAGGCUGUAAACUCCCACAAAGGCCAGAGCCGGCGGAGCUGGAGAGCCCCAUUUUGGGAAGCUGGUGGUGAGGGCCUCUGCCUUUGAUCGCCAGGGAGACAGAGGUCAGCUGAAUUCCAGCCUAUUUCCUCCCUGCCCCACCAACCCCGCAAUGACCACCCCAAAUGACUGCUUUGAGAUUUAGGAGUCAGGAGACAAAAGGGAGGCCUGCUUGGGGGAGACAGGGGAGACGGAGGCCUCGCCACUGAGGGCACUGUCUCAUCAGCUGUGACAGUGCUGACGCAUCCAGGAGUGGGCGCUGCCUCUCCUUACCUCCCAGCAUCUCCCAGAGCUCUGGGUCUUGGAGAAAACAGGAGAGCACAGCUGGAUGCUCCUUUGUCUCCAGCCUGGAACCAUCAGACAAAGGAGGUUGCUUGGUUUUGUGUGGAGACGAAAGGGAGGCUGGAGAUGCAGGGUGAGUGGUGGCCAGCAGGGAUCAUGCCAGGGCAGGGUGCUCCCAGGAGCCUGCUUUAGAGAUCACUCCAACUGGGGACUGAGCCAAGGGAAGGGAUUGCCGUGAGUGUUCUUGUCUCCUGGGGGGACCAGUUCAGAGUAAGGAAAACACAGCCAUCAUUUUUUAGGACCUUCUCUGGCCAAACGCUCGACCUACCUUGUCUCUGUUCCCACAACAAUCCUGCAAGGUAGGUGUUAUUACCCCAUUUUCCAGGUGGAGAAGAUCCAGAGGGGUGCCCUUGCCCAGGGUCAGGCAGUCCUCAGCAAAGUCUCAGGAUGAAAGGGGAUUUAUGUAUGGGUGUGUCUGGCCCUCAGGGUGCCUUGCAUGGAGAUGUCUACGAGGAGAGACCCUCCUGAGCUGAGCUGCUCUCAGGAACAUGGGCCACAGGUGGAAGGGCCUCGACCUCUCUGCAGGAGAGCAGGUGUCUCAGAGAGGGGCUCCCUGUCCCAGUGCCAGCUAGGACCCAUGACCUGAGCUAGCUGGGGGAGGACAGGAAGGAAGUCUGAGAAGGACUUAAACGUGAGUGAAGCGAGAGGGGUGGGACCUGCUUGACUUAACAAAUGCCUGGGUUUCCCCCAAAGAACAAAUAGGACAAUUUCUGAAAAUUGUUGCAGGACUGGAGAAGGAAGGGGAGGUUAAGGGAGAGGAGAGGGGGUGGGGAUGGGGUGCAAGAGGAGUGAGAGAGAACCCUCUGAGAGGGACUCUGGGGGAGCUGUCAGCAAGGUGGGGGUUGCUGCCUCUGUGAGGGCAAAUCGGGUCUUGUGACUCCUCACAGGACAGGCGACAGCAUGGAAGGAGGCUGCCUGAGAAAAGUCCUGCGUCUGCCUGCAGCACGGGAGAAAUGAUUUCACCUCUGUCCUGUCCCCAUUUUUGCCUGAUUUUUGCCUGGGACUGAUUCAUUCACUUUAUAAAACUGGGUCCCAUGAUGUGCUGUUCCAGGCAUGGGGGAAUGAAGAAACAAACAAAAAUCCUUGCUCUUCUGGUGCUUAGAUUUUAGUUGGGAGAGGGACAAACAAGAUAAGGGAAACACAUACCUUAGGUAAGAACAAGUGCCACAGAGGAAAAGCCAGGCUGAGGCGGUGGGUGUGAACAUUUUUAUACAGAGAUGACCAGAAUCGGGGCUUUGGAGAAAGCCCUGAAGCUAGUGUGCACUGAGCAGCAAGCCCUGUGGAGGCUGAGCAUAUAGGAAGCGGGAACCGCCCGUGCAGAGGUCCUGGAGGGUGAGGGGUGUCAAGAAGGCUGGCAUGGCUGGAGCAGAGAGCAGGGCGGGGAGGUCGGGGACCAGCUCAGAGGUGCCUGGAGCCAGAUUAAGAAAGGCUUUUUGGCCGGGUGUGGUGGCUUACGCCUGUGGGGGACCACCUGAGGUCAGGAGUACAAGACCAGCCAACAUGGAGAAACCUGGCAAUAAAAAAAUACAGGCUGGCUGUGGCUCAAGCCUGUAAUCCCAGCACUGGGAGGCUGCUACU